rnacentral:ncRNA from 1 species
GAAAUUCUACUGAAGACAGUGGGAAACCAUUGUCGUCUCUCAAGGACAGUAGAACAGGUGCUGCAUGGUUGUCGUCAGCUCGUGUCUUGAGAUGUUCCCUUCAGUGGGGUAACGAGCGCAACCCCUACCCAAUGUUAUAUGUGUCAUUGGGAACUGCCGAGCUAAGCUCGGAGGAAGGCGGGGAUGACGUCAAAUCCGCAUGGCCCUCUGAUGCCCUGGGCCACACUCAUGCUACAAUGGGCGGUACAAUGGGUUGCCAAGCCGUAAGGCGGAGCUAAUCCCAUCAAAACCGUCCCCAGUUCGGAUUGAGGGCUGCAACUCGCCCUCAUGAAGCCGGAAUCGCUAGUAAUCGCGGAUCAGCCUCGCCGCGGUGAAUACGUUCUCGAGUCCUGUACUCACCGCCCGUCAAGCCAAGGGAGCCGGGAAUAGAUGAAGUUCGCUUCGGCGGAUCAGUCUAAGUUCGGUGACAUGGGCUAAGUCGUAACAAGGCACGCGUAGCGGAAGCUGUGCGUGGAUCAAUUACACA